UCGGAGCCCAACUAGGAGUGCGACGGAGACACCCGAAGCAACAAUUAGGGUGGCUGCACAGAUUAUGAGAAACUUGAACUUGGAUGUCUUUGUUGGGGGCCGGGUGGGUGACGUGGAAAUGUCAUGUGGGCUUCGAAGCUUAAGGGAUCCGAGCCUUCCGUACCCCAUAAGAUUAUAAUUGUUUAAUGAAGAGAGAAUAUUAAAGAGGGAGCUAGAGCAGAGGAGUUGAAGUGAGAGUAGGGAGUGUACGUGGGCUAGGUUUUAUAUGUUGCUAGGCUAUUGGGUAUUGGAGGGGAUAGAGAGAGAGAGAGAGAUAAUGUUGGAGGUUGGUGUGAAGUCUAUAUCGAGAUAGUUAGCUGUAAUCUACUUAGAGCAAUGCUAAUUAAUUGCGAUGGCCAGUGGAACAAAUUAACUACAUACUGUUUGUUUAUUCUACCGAAUUUCUUCUGCCAACUGCCUUUUUUCUAAUCUAUACUACUAGUCCUAGAAUAUUGGAGAUUCUACCCAGCCCGCAAAACAAAAAAUUAAUCCUAAUAUAUAUGACGAGCAUUAGAAGGGAUAUAUAGGAAAGUUUGUGCGUCAAGCUAGCUCAGUUAAUUACGUACAUUUGUUAUGCCAAACUAAAUAAAAGAAAGAAAGAAAUAGUUCAACAUUCUGAUGUUACAUCUCGAUCGAUCGUUU
rnacentral:lncRNA from 1 species